rnacentral:rRNA from 1 species
AUUGAACGCUGGCGGCAGGCCUAACACAUGCAAGUCGAGCGGAGCGGCGGACGGGUGAGUAAUGCCUGGGAAUCUGCCUGGUAGUGGGGGAUAACGUCCGGAAACGGGCGCUAAUACCGCAUACUAUCAGAUGAGCCUAGGUCGGAUUAGCUAGUUGGUGGGGUAAAGGCCUACCAAGGCGACGAUCCGUAACUGGUCUGAGAGGAUGAUCAGUCACACUGGACCUGGGAUACGGCCCAGAGUCCUGCGGGAGGCGGGAGUGUGGGAUAUUGCACAAUGGGCGAAAACCUGAUUCAGCGACGCCGCGUGGGGGAUGAAGGAUUUCGGGUUGUAAACCUCUUUCGCUAUCGAACGGGUAGGUGGAGAAGAAGCGCCGGCUAACUACGUGCCAGCAGCCGCGGUAAUAC